GGGAGAUUGGAUCCAAACAUGACCGAAUGAAAGGGCUUGCUUCUGAUUUAAUUGGACGACUGGACAGCACCUCCGAUGAAGACUGGGAGCUGGGCCCUCUAG